UUCCGGUUGAUCCUGCCGGACCUGACUGCUAUCGGAUUGAUACUAAGCCAUGCGAGUCAUUGUAGCAAUACAAGGCAGACGGCUCAGUAACGCGUAGUCAACCUAACCUAUGGACGGGAAUAACCUCGGGAAACUGAGAAUAAUGCCCGAUAGAACACUACGCCUGGAAUGGUUUGUGUUCCAAAUGAUUUAUCGCCGUAGGAUGGGACUGCGGCUUAUCAGUUUGUUGGUGAGGUAAUGGCCCACCAAGACUAUUACAGGUACGGGCUCUGAGAGGAGUGGCCCGGAGAUGGGUACUGAGACACGGACCCAGGCCCUAUGGGGCGCAGCAGGCGAGAAAACUUUGCAAUGUGCGAAAGCACGACAAGGUUAAUCCGAGUGGUUUCUGCUAAAGGAACCUUUUGUCGGUCCUAGAAACACCGAUGAAUAAGGGGUGGGCAAGUUCUGGUGUCAGCCGCCGCGGUAAAACCAGCACCUCAAGUGGUCAGGAUGAUUACUGGGCCUAAAGCAUCCGUAGCCUGCUUUGUUAGUUUUCGGUUAAAUCUGUACGCUCAACGUACAGGCUGCCGGGAAUACUGCAAAGCUAGGGAGUGGGAGAGGUAGACGGUACUCGGUAGGAAGGGGUAAAAUCCUUUGAUCUAUUGAUGACCACCUGUGGCGAAGGCGGUCUACCAGAACACGUCCGACGGUGAGGGAUGAAAGCUGGGGGAGCAAACCGGAUUAGAUACCCGGGUAGUCCCAGCUGUAAACCAUGCAAACUCAGUGAUGCAUUGGCUUGUGGCCAAUGCAGUGCUGCAGGGAAGCCGUUAAGUUUGCCGCCUGGGAAGUACGUACGCAAGUAUGAAACUUAAAGGAAUUGGCGGGGGAGCACCACAAGGGGUGAAGCCUGCGGUUCAAUUGGAGUCAACGCCGGG
rnacentral:rRNA from 1 species